AUUGAACGCUGGCGGCAUGCUUUACACAUGCAAGUCGAACGGCAGCGCGGGCUUCGGCCUGGCGGCGAGUGGCGCACGGGUGAGUAAUACAUCGGAACGUGCCCAGUAGUGGGGGAUAGCUCGGCGAAAGCCGGAUUAAUACCGCAUACGACCUGAGGGUGAAAGCGGGGGAUCUUCGGACCUCGCGCUAUUGGAGCGGCCGAUGGCCGAUUAGCUAGUUGGUGGGGUAAAGGCCUACCAAGCCGACGAUCUGUAGCUGGUCUGAGAGGACGACCAGCCACACUGGGACGGAGACACGGCCCAGACUCCUACGGGAGGCAGCAGUGGGGAAUGUUGGACAAUGGGCGAAAGCCUGAUCCAGCAAUGCCGCGUGUGUGAUGAAGGCCUUCGGGUUGUAAAGCACUUUUGGCGGGAACGAAAAGGACUGUGCCAAUACCACGGUUCGAUGGCGGUACCCGCAGAAUAAGCACCGGCUAACUACGUG
rnacentral:rRNA from 1 species